rnacentral:rRNA from 1 species
CCUACGGGAGGCUGCAGUGAGGAAUAUUGGUCAAUGGGCUUACGCCUGAACCAGCCAAGUCGCGUGAGGGAAGACUGCCCUAUGGGUUGUAAACCUCUUUUGUCAGGGAGCAACGCCGGCUACGUGUAGCCGGCCUGAGAUUACCUGAAGAAAAACCUUCGGCUAACUCCGUGCCAGUAGCCGCGGUAAUACGGAGGAUGCGAGCGUUAUCCGGAUUUAUUGGGUUUAAGGGGUGCGUAGGCGGAAUGCCAAGUCAGCGGUAAAAUCGCGGGGCUAAACCUCGCUCAGCCGUUGAAACUGGCGUUCUUGAGUGGGCGAGAAGUAUGCGGAAGGCGUGGUGUAGCGGUGAAAUGCAUAGAUAUCACGCAGAACUCCGAUUGCGAAGGCAGCAUACCGGCGCCCAACUGACGCUGAAGCACGAAAGCGUGGGUAUCGAAUAGGAUUAGAUACCCGAGUAGUC